rnacentral:rRNA from 1 species
GACGAAGCGUGAGUGACGGUAANNGGUAAAGAAGCNCCGGCUAACUACGUGCCAGCAGCCGCGGUGAUACGUAGGGUGCGAGCGUUGUCNGGAUUUAUUGGGCGUAAAGGGCUCGUAGGUGGUUGAUCGCGUCGGAAGUGUAAUCUUGGGGCUUAACCCUGAGCGUGCUUUCGAUACGGGUUGACUUGAGGAAGGUAGGGGAGAAUGGAAUUCCUGGUGGAGCGGUGGAAUGCGCAGAUAUCAGGAGGAACACCAGUGGCGAAGGCGGUUCUCUGGGCCUUUCCUGACGCUGAGGAGCGAAAGCGUGGGGAGCGAACAGGCUUAGAUACCCUGGUAGUCCACGCUGUAAACGGUGGGUACUAGGUGUGGGGUCCAUUCCACGGGUUCCGUGCCGUAGCUAACGCUUUAAGUACCCCGCCUGGGGAGUACGGCCGCAAGGCUAAAACUCAAAGGAAUUGACGGGGCCCCGCACAAGCGGCGGAGCAUGCGGAUUAAUUCGAUGCAACGCGUAGAACCUUACCUGGGUUUGACAUGGAUCGGGAGUGCUCAGAGAUGGGUGUGCCUCUUUUGGGGUCGGUUCACAGGUGGUGCAUGGCUGUCGUCAGCUCGUGUCGUGAGAUGUUGGGUUAAGUCCCGCAACGAGCGCAACCCUUGUUCACUGUUGCCAGCACGUUAUGGUGGGGACUCAGUGGAGACCGCCGGGGUCAACUCGGAGGAAGGUGGGGAUGACGUCAAGUCAUCAUGCCCCUUAUGUCCAGGGCUUCACGCAUGCUACAAUGGCUGGUACAGAGAGUGGCGAGCCUGUGAGGGUGAGCGAAUCUCGGAAAGCCGGUCUCAGUUCGGAUUGGGGUCUGCAACUCGACCUCAUGAAGUCGGAGUCGCUAGUAAUCGCAGAUCAGCAACGCUGCGGUGAAUACGUUCCCGGGA